rnacentral:rRNA from 1 species
CUGCUUACACACUGCAGUCGUGCGAGAAAGUAUCUUCGGAUAUGAGUAGAGCGGCGGACGGGUGAGUACGCGUAGGAAUCUACCUAGUAGAAGGGGAUAGCCCGGGGAAACCCGGAUUAAUACCGUAUACCUCCUUCGGGAGAAAGAAGGCCUCUCUUUGAAGUUUUCGCUAUUAGAUGAGCCUGCGUAAGAUUAGCUUGUUGGUGAGGUAAAGGCUCACCAAGGCGACGAUCUUUAGCUGGUCUGAGAGGACGAUCAGCCACAUUGGGACUGAGACACGGCCCAGACUCCUACGGGAGGCAGCAGUGGGGAAUAUUGGACAAUGGGCGCAAGCCUGAUCCAGCCAUACCGCGUGUGUGAAGAAGGCCUUCGGGUUGUAAAGCACUUUAAGCAGGGAGAAAAAGUUAUAAGUUAAUACCUUAUAACCGUGAUGUUACCUGCAGAAUAAGCACCGGCUAAUUCCGUGCCAGCAGCCGCGGUAAUACGGAAGGUGCAAGCGUUAAUCGGAAUUACUGGGCGUAAAGCGCGCGUAGGUGGUUUGUUAAGUUGGAUGUGAAAGCCCUGGGCUCAACCUAGGAACUGCAUCCAAAACUAACUCACUAGAGUACGAUAGAGGGAGGUAGAAUUCAUAGUGUAGCGGUGGAAUGCGUAGAUCUUAUGAAGAAUACCAGUGGCGAAGGCGGCCUCCUGGAUCUGUACUGACACUGAGGUGCGAAGGCGUGGGUAGCGAACAGGAUUAGAUACCCUGGUAGUCCACGCCGUAAACGAUGACCACUAGCUGUUGGAAGACAACGUCUUUCAGUGGG